AAAAACCAUCAUCGAUUUAAAUUGCAAAUAACAUAAAAUUAUAAUCAUUCUUGUAAUUAACAUAAAAAAGAUUCAUAGUCUAACAAUAACAACAAAAUACAUUAUAACUAUUUUGCUUAUAAAAAAAACAUUCUCGCUACUUAAAUUGACUCAUUCUUGCUGCAUUUUUUGAAGCAAAUUCAUCAAUCAAGUCUUCAUAUUGUAUGUCAUCCAAGAGAUUAUUCUCAAUUGCUAUCAAUGCUAAGCCGUUAAGUCUUUCUU
rnacentral:lncRNA from 1 species